ACAAACUUGGUCAUUUAGAGGAAGUAAAAGUCGUAACAAGGUCUCCGUUGGUGAACCAGCGGAGGGAUCAUUACCGAGUUUACAACUCCCAAACCCCUGUGAACAUACCUAUCGUUGCUUCGGCGGGAUCGCCCCGGCGCCUUCGGGCCCGGACCCAGGCGCCCGCCGGAGGACCCAAACCCUAGUAUUAUUUUGAGUAUCUUCUGAGUAAACAAGCAAAUAAAUCAAAACUUUCAACAACGGAUCUCUUGGUUCUGGCAUCGAUGAAGAACGCAGC
rnacentral:misc_RNA from 1 species